rnacentral:rRNA from 1 species
GGGUUGUGAGGUUAAGCGACUAAGCGUACACGGUGGAUGCCCUGGCAGUCAGAGGCGAUGAAGGACGUGCUAAUCUGCGAAAAGCGCCGGCGAGGUGAUAUGAACCCUUGACCCGGCGAUGUCCGAAUGGGGAAACCCAGUGUGAUUCGUCACACUAUCGUUAACUGAAUACAUAGGUUAACGAGGCGAACCGGGGGAACUGAAACAUCUAAGUACCCGAGGAAAAGAAAUCAACCGAGAUUCCCCAGUAGCGGCGAGCGAACGGGGAGCAGCCCAGAGUCUGAAUCAGCUUGUGUGUUAGUGGAAGCGUCUGGAAAGUCGCACGGUACAGGGUGAAAGUCCCGUACACGAAAAUGCACAGGCUGUGAACUCGAAGAGUAGGGCGGGACACGUGGUAUCCUGUCUGAAUAUGGGGGACCAUCCUCCAAGGCUAAAUACUCCUGACUGACCGAUAGUGAACCAGUACCGUGAGGGAAAGGCGAAAAGAACCCGGCGAGGGGAGUGAAAAAGAACCUGAAACCGUGUACGUACAAGCAGUGGGAGCACCUUCGGGUGUGACUGCGUACCUUUUGUAUAAUGGGUCAGCGACUUAUAUUCUGUAGCAAGGUUAACCGUAUAGGGGAGCCGAAGGGAAACCGAGUCUUAACUGGGCGUUAAGUUGCAGGGUAUAGACCCGAAACCCGGUGAUCUAGCCAUGGGCAGGUUGAAGGUUGGGUAACACUAACUGGAGGACCGAACCGACUAAUGUUGAAAAAUUAGCGGAUGACCUGUGGCUGGGGUGAAAGGCCAAUCAAACCGGGAGAUAGCUGGUUCUCCCCGAAAGCUAUUUAGGUAGCGCCUCGUGAACUCAUCUUCGGGGUAGAGCACUGUUUCGGCUAGGGGCCAUCCCGGCUUACCAACCCGAUGCAAACUACGAAUACCGAAGAAUGUUAUCACGGGAGACACACGGCGGGUGCUAACGUCCGUCGUGAAGAGGGAAACAACCCAGACCGCCAGCUAAGGUCCCAAAGUCAUGGUUAAGUGGGAAACGAUGUGGGAAGGCCCAGACAGCCAGGAUGUUGGCUUAGAAGCAGCCAUCAUUUAAAGAAAGCGUAAUAGCUCACUGGUCGAGUCGGCCUGCGCGGAAGAUGUAACGGGGCUAAACCAUGCACCGAAGCUGCGGCAGCGACACUCUGUGUUGUUGGGUAGGGGAGCGUUCUGUAAGCCGUUGAAGGUGGCCUGUGAGGGUUGCUGGAGGUAUCAGAAGUGCGAAUGCUGACAUAAGUAACGAUAAAGCGGGUGAAAAGCCCGCUCGCCGGAAGACCAAGGGUUCCUGUCCAACGUUAAUCGGGCAGGGUGAGUCGACCCCUAAGGCGAGGCCGAAAGGCGUAGUCGAUGGGAAACAGGUUAAUAUUCCUGUACUUGGUGUUACUGCGAAGGGGGGACGGAGAAGGCUAUGUUAGCCGGGCGACGGUUGUCCCGGUUUAAGCAUGUAGGCGGAGGUUCCAGGUAAAUCCGGUACCUUUUUAACGCUGAGGUGUGAUGACGAGGCACUACGGUGCUGAAGUAACAAAUGCCCUGCUUCCAGGAAAAGCCUCUAAGCAUCAGGUAACACGAAAUCGUACCCCAAACCGACACAGGUGGUCAGGUAGAGAAUACCAAGGCGCUUGAGAGAACUCGGGUGAAGGAACUAGGCAAAAUGGUGCCGUAACUUCGGGAGAAGGCACGCUGAUAUGUAGGUGAAGCCCCUGCGGGUGGAGCUGAAAUCAGUCGAAGAUACCAGCUGGCUGCAACUGUUUAUUAAAAACACAGCACUGUGCAAACACGAAAGUGGACGUAUACGGUGUGACGCCUGCCCGGUGCCGGAAGGUUAAUUGAUGGGGUUAGCGGUAACGCGAAGCUCUUGAUCGAAGCCCCGGUAAACGGCGGCCGUAACUAUAACGGUCCUAAGGUAGCGAAAUUCCUUGUCGGGUAAGUUCCGACCUGCACGAAUGGCGUAAUGAUGGCCAGGCUGUCUCCACCCGAGACUCAGUGAAAUUGAACUCGCUGUGAAGAUGCAGUGUACCCGCGGCAAGACGGAAAGACCCCGUGAACCUUUACUAUAGCUUGACACUGAACACUGGUCCUUGAUGUGUAGGAUAGGUGGGAGGCUUUGAAGCGUGGACGCCAGUCUGCGUGGAGCCGUCCUUGAAAUACCACCCUUUAAUGGCUGGUGUUCUAACGUAGACCCGUAAUCCGGGUUGCGGACAGUGUCUGGUGGGUAGUUUGACUGGGGCGGUCUCCUCCCAAAGAGUAACGGAGGAGCACGAAGGUUAGCUAAUCCUGGUCGGACAUCAGGAGGUUAGUGCAAUGGCAUAAGCUAGCUUGACUGCGAGAGUGACGGCUCGAGCAGGUGCGAAAGCAGGUCAUAGUGAUCCGGUGGUUCUGAAUGGAAGGGCCAUCGCUCAACGGAUAAAAGGUACUCCGGGGAUAACAGGCUGAUACCGCCCAAGAGUUCAUAUCGACGGCGGUGUUUGGCACCUCGAUGUCGGCUCAUCACAUCCUGGGGCUGAAGUAGGUCCCAAGGGUAUGGCUGUUCGCCAUUUAAAGUGGUACGCGAGCUGGGUUUAGAACGUCGUGAGACAGUUCGGUCCCUAUCUGCCGUGGGCGCUGGAGAAUUGAGGGGGGCUGCUCCUAGUACGAGAGGACCGGAGUGGACGCAUCACUGGUGUUCGGGUUGUCAUGCCAAUGGCACUGCCCGGUAGCUAAAUGCGGAAGAGAUAAGUGCUGAAAGCAUCUAAGCACGAAACUUGCCCCGAGAUGAGUUCUCCCUGAGACUUCAAGUCUCCUGAAGGAACGUUGAAGACGACGACGUUGAUAGGUCGGGUGUGUAAGCGCAGCGAUGCGUUGAGCUAACCGAUACUAAUGAACCGUGAGGCUUAACCUUACAACGCCGAAG